rnacentral:rRNA from 1 species
AGUGAACGCUGGCGGUAGGCCUAACACAUGCAAGUCGAACGGCAGCACAGUAAGAGCUUGCUCUUACGGGUGGCGAGUGGCGGACGGGUGAGGAAUACAUCGGAAUCUACUUUUUCGUGGGGGAUAACGUAGGGAAACUUACGCUAAUACCGCAUACGACCUACGGGUGAAAGCAGGGGAUCUUCGGACCUUGCGCGAUUGAAUGAGCCGAUGUCGGAUUAGCUAGUUGGCGGGGUAAAGGCCCACCAAGGCGACGAUCCGUAGCUGGUCUGAGAGGAUGAUCGGCCACACUGGAAGGUGGACAGCGGCCCGGCGCCUGAGGGACGGCGCAGUGGGGAACGUUGGGCAAUGGGGGGAAAGCUUGUGCAACCAUAGCGGGUGGGUGGAAGAGGCCCUGGGGGUGGGAAGCCCGUUUUUUGGGGAAAAAAAUCUGCAAGCUAAGACCCCGCUGUUCUGACGGUACCCAAAGAAUAAGCACCGGCCAACUUCGUG